rnacentral:rRNA from 1 species
CACCUACGGGUGGCAGCAGUAGGGAAUAUUGGGCAAUGGAGGCAACUCUGACCCAGCCAUGCCGCGUGCAGGAAGAAGGCGUUAUGCGUUGUAAACUGCUUUUAUAUAGGAAGAAGAAGCCCAUGCGUGGGAAAGUGACGGUACUAUAUGAAUAAGCACCGGCUAACUCCGUGCCAGCAGCCGCGGUAAUACGGAGGGUGCAAGCGUUGUCCGGAUUUAUUGGGUUUAAAGGGUGCGUAGGUGGUUUAUUAAGUCAGUGGUGAAAGACGGUCGCUUAACGAUUGCAGUGCCAUUGAUACUGGUAGACUUGAGUUUUGUUAAGGUAGGCGGAAUUGAUAGUGUAGCGGUGAAAUGCAUAGAUAUUAUCAAGAACUCCAAUUGCGUAGGCAGCUUACUGGGCAAAAACUGACACUGAGGCACGAAAGUGUGGGUAUCAAACAGGAUUAGAUACCCUGGUAGUCCACACUGUAAACGAUGAUAACUAGGUGUUGGCAUUUAAUGUCAGUGCCACAGCGAAAGCGUUAAGU